rnacentral:rRNA from 1 species
AUUGAACGCUGGCGGCAUGCUUUACACAUGCAAGUCGAGCGGCAGCGCGGGGGCAACCCUGGCGGCGAGCGGCGAACGGGUGAGGAAUACAUCGGAACGUGCCCCGGAGUGGGGGAUAACGCCGCGAAAGCGGCGCUAAUACCGCAUAUGCUCUGAGGAGGAAAGCGGGGGACCUGUGAGGGCCUCGCGCUCUGGGAGCGGCCGAUGUCCGAUUAGCUAGUUGGUGGGGUAAAGGCCCACCAAGGCGACGAUCGGUAGCUGGUCUGAGAGGAUGAUCAGCCACACUGGGACGGAGACACGGCCCAGACUCCUACGGGAGGCAGCAGUGGGGAAUUUUGGACAAUGGGGGCAACCCUGAUCCAGCCAUGCCGCGUGCGGGAAGAAGGCCUUCGGGUUGUAAACCGCUUUUAGCCGGGAAGAAAGGGCGUCCACUAACACUGGGCGUUCUUGACGGUACCGGCGGAAUAAGCACCGGCUAACUACGUGCCAGCAGCCGCAGUAAAAC